UACAGAGGUGGCAAGCGUUGUUCGGAAUGACUGGGCGUAAAGCGCGUGUAGGCGGCCUCGCAAGUCGGGUGUGAAAGCCCUGGGCUCAACCCAGGAAGUGCACUCGAAACUGCAAGGCUUGAGUUCCGGAGAGGAAAGCGGAAUUCUCGGUGUAGAGGUGAAAUUCGUAGAUAUCGAGAGGAACACCGGUGGCGAAGGCGGCUUUCUGGACGGCGACUGACGCUGAGACGCGAAAGCGUGGGGAGCAAACAGG
rnacentral:rRNA from 1 species